ensembl:lncRNA
UGUUGGUCUCCAUGUUGGUCUCUAUGUUGAUCUCCAUGUUGUUCUCCAUUUUGGUCUCCAUGUUGGCCUCGAUGUUGGUCUCUAUGUUGUUCUCCAUGUUGAUCUCCAUGUAGUUCUCCAUGUAGGUCUCCAUGUUGGUCUCCAUGUGGCCCUCCAUGUAGGUCUCCAUGUUGAUCUCCAUGUAGUUCUCCAUGUAGGUCUCCAUGUUGAUCUCCAUGUAGUUCUCCAUGUAGGUCUCCAUGUUUAUCUCCAUGUAGUUCUCCAUGUUGGUCUCCAUGUUGGUCUCUGUGUUGGUCUCCA